UCUGGAAACUGUNUGACUUGAGUGCAGAAGGGGAGAGUGGAAUUCCAUGUGUAGCGGUGAAAUGNGUAGAUAUAUGAGGAACACCAGUGGCGAAAGCGGCUCUCUGGUCUGUCACUGACGCUGAGGCUCGAAAGCGUGGGUAGCGANCAGGAUUAGAUACCCUGGUAGUCCACGCCGUAAACGAUGAGUGCUAGGUGUUAGGCCCUUUCCGGGGCUUAGUGCCGGAGCUAACGCAAUAAGCACUCCGCCUGGGGAGUACGACCGCAAGGUUGAAACUCAAAGGAAUUGACGGGGGCCCGCACAAGCGGUGGAGCAUGUGGUUUAAUUCGAAGCAACGCGAAGAACCUUACCAGGUCUUGACAUCCCGAUGCUAUUCUUAGAGAUAGGAAGUUACUUCGGUACAUCGGAGACAGGUGGUGCAUGGUUGUCGUCAGCUCGUGUCGUGAGAUGUUGGGUUAAGUCCCGCAACGAGCGCAACCCUUAUUGUUAGUUGCCAUCAUUAAGUUGGGCACUCUAGCGAGACUGCCGGUAAUAAACCGGAGGAAGGUGGGGAUGACGUCAAAUCAUCAUGCCCCUUAUGACCUGGGCUACACACGUGCUACAAUGGUCGGUACAACGAGUUGCGAGCCGGUGACGGCAAGCUAAUCUCUGAAAGCCGAUCUCAGUUCGGAUUGGAGGCUGCAACUCGCCUCCAUGAAGUCGGAAUCGCUAGUAAUCGCGGAUCAGCACGCCGCGGUGAAUACGUUCCCGGGCCUUGUACACACCGCCCGUCACACCACGAGAGUUUGUAACACCCGAAGUCGGUGAGGUANCCUUUUAGGG
rnacentral:rRNA from 1 species